UUUGGUCGUCUCUCCUUGGGGGCGCAAUGGGGACUUAGAGUUGCCUAGGGCUUUGUUGACAGCCCAGUUCUUCUGGAGGGCGCGGAAGCCGGAGGUCUCGGGCCACCGUCCGGCCCAGGCGGGACCCCGUAGGGCCGGGGUCUGUCCUCGACUUCGACCCUGGGUGCGGUGUCCCCAGUUCGGGUCUUCCCUCGGGCGCGGGUGGAGCAGAGCUGCAUCUUCACCGUCCUCUGCACUCUUCCAAGACCCACUGGAAACGAACACAUCUGAGGGGAGCUCUUGAUUCAUUUCCCCAAUUUGUGAUUGGUGAGCAGUGUGCCUUCACAGACAUCAGUGCCAUUCAAGGACGUGAGUGUGGCGUUUACCCAGGAGGAGUGGCAGCAUGUGAACCCUGCUCAGAGGACCCUGAACAGAGCUGUGAUGCUGGAGAACCAUAGCCACCUUGUCGCACUGGGUGAGCCUACUUUAUUAUAGGACUCUGACUCGAGUGCAAUUGAUCUUCUGUUCCUGCUUUUUUUGAAGUAUAUUACCUGUAUUAAGUAAUUGACAAAAUAAAAUUUAACACGUUUCUGUGUAUAAUAGAAUGAGUUCUGGAAAAUACGUACAGCUAUGCCACCAAAAUCACAAUACAGAUUAUUUCUGUUAUGUGAAAGUUUUCGUUGGAUGUUUUCUGUCCUCUCUUGACACCUAUUUUCUGAUAAUCACUGAUCCUCUUUUUGUUUCAAUACUUUCUCUCCGUCCGCCACAAGUUUUU